GAUGAACGCUGGCGGCGUGCCUAAUACAUGCAAGUCGAGCGAACAGACGAGGAGCUUGCUCCUCUGACGUUAGCGGCGGACGGGUGAGUAACACGUGGAUAACCUACCUAUAAGACUGGGAUAACUUCGGGAAACCGGAGCAAAUACCGGAUAAUAUAUUGAACCGCAUGGUGCAAUAGUGAAAGACGGUUUUGCUGUCACUUAUAGAUGGAUCUGCGCCGCAUUAGCUAGUUGGUAAGGUAACGGCUUACCAAGGCAACGAUGCGUAGCCGACCUGAGAGGGUGAUCGGCCACACCGGAACUGAGACACGGUCCAGACUCCUACGGGAGGCAGCAGUAGGGAAUCUUCCGCAAUGGGCGAAAGCUUGACGGAGCAACGCCGCGUGAGUGAUGAAGGUCUUCGGAUCGUAAAACUCUGUUAUUAGGGAAGAACAAAUGUGUAAGUAACUAUGCACGUCUUGACGGUACCUAAUCAGAAAGCCACGGCUAACUACGUG
rnacentral:rRNA from 1 species